CGCAGCCGGCAGGAUGGCAGAGGGCAAGGCGGGCGGAGCAGCUGGCCUUUUCGCCAAGCAGAUGCAGAAGAAGUUCAGCAGGGCCCAGGAGAAGGUUCUGCAGAAAUUGGGGAAAACCGUAGAAACCAAAGAUGAGCGAUUUGAACAAAGUGCCAGCAACUUCUACCAACAGCAGGCAGAGGGCCACAGGCUGUACAAAGAUCUGAAGAACUUCCUUAGCGCAGUCAAAGUGAUGCGUGAGAGCUCAAAGAGAGUAUCAGAGACCCUGCAGGAGAUCUACAACAGCGACUGGGAUGGGCAUGAGGACCUGAAGGCCAUCGUGGGGAACAACGAUCUCCUCUGGGAAGACUAUGAAGAGAAACUGGCUGACCAGGCUUUGAGGACCAUGGAGAACUAUGUGUCACAGUUCAGUGAGGUUAAGGUAACUCAUUCUGCAGAGUGGGGCAAGGUGGAGACAGUCCACGC
rnacentral:lncRNA from 1 species